GAUGAAGACGCAGCGAAAUGCGAUAAGUAAUGUGAAUUGCAGAAUUCAGUGAAUCAUCGAAUCUUUGAACGCACAUUGCGCCCGCCAGUAUUCUGGCGGGCAUGCCUGUUCGAGCGUCAUUACAACCCUCAGGCCCCCGGGCCUGGCGUUGGGGAUCGGCGGAAGCCCCCUGCGGGCACAACGCCGUCCCCCAAAUACAGUGGCGGUCCCGCCGCAGCUUCCAUUGCGUAGUAGCUAACACCUCGCAACUGGAGAGCGGCGCGGCCACGCCGUAAAACACCCAACUUCUGAAUGUUGACCUCGAAUCAGGUAGGAAUACCCGCUGAACUUAAGCAUAUCAAUAAGCGGAGGA
rnacentral:misc_RNA from 1 species